GAUGAACGCUGGCGGCGUGCUUAACACAUGCAAGUCGAGCGAAGCGGUUUCGAUGAAGUUUUCGGACGGAUUUGAAAUUGACUUAGCGGCGGACGGGUGAGUAACGCGUGGGUAACCUGCCUUACACUGGGGGAUAACAGUUAGAAAUGACUGCUAAUACCGCAUAAGCGCACAGGGCCGCAUGGCCUGGUGUGAAAAACUCCGGUGGUGUAAGAUGGACCCGCGUCUGAUUAGGUAGUUGGCGGGGUAACGGCCCACCAAGCCGACGAUCUGUAGCCGACCUGAGAGGGUGACCGGCCACAUUGGGGACUGGAGACACGGGCCCAAACUCCUACGGGAGGCAGCAGUGGGGAAUAUUGGACAAU
rnacentral:rRNA from 1 species